rnacentral:tRNA from 1 species
GAGGUCUUAGCUUAGUUAAAGCGUUUGAGUUGCAAUCAGAAUAUGUAGAUUAGAGUUUUACAGGCCUUC